AGCGAACGCUGGCGGCAGGCCUAACACAUGCAAGUCGAACGAACCUUUCGGGGUUAGUGGCGGACGGGUGAGUAACACGUGGGAACGCGCCUUUAGGUUCGGAAUAACUCAGGGAAACUUGUGCUAAUACCGAAUGUGCCCUUCGGGGGAAAGAUUAAUCGCCUUUAGAGCGGCCCGCGUCUGAUUAGCUAGUUGGUUGAGGUAAUGGCUCACCAAGGCGACGAUCAGUAGCUGGUCUGAGAGGAUGAUCAGCCACAUUGGGACUGAGACACGGCCCAAACUCCUACGGGAGGCAGCAGUGGGGAAUCUUGCGCAAUGGGCGAAAGCCUGACGCAGCCAUGCCGCGUGAAUGAUGAAGGUCUUAGGAUUGUAAAAUUCUUUCACCGGGGACGAUAAUGACGGUACCCGGAGAAGAAGCCCCGACUAACUUCGUG
rnacentral:rRNA from 1 species